CCACUUUGCGGCUGCGGAUGAGCACGAUGCGCGGCGUGUCGUACUCGAACAGGAAGGCCGCCAGCGCGGCGCAGCAGCUCGCCAUGGCCACGCCACUUGCUCCCCGUCCCCGAGCCCGUCUGGGUCCCAGUCCCCGGUCGGAGCCCCGCCCAGUCCGCCCGGCCUGCCCGCAACGCCGUCAUCACGGGGAGGGCCCGGAAGGAGGCGGCACCGGGCGGUCGGGGCCCGAGGCCCGGGGCCUAGGGGAGGGCGCCACCUCCCCGUCUGGAACUGUGACCCUCUAGGGGGCAUGGAACUCGCGGGGAGGGGGUGGCCUUGCCCUUGGCCUUGAGGAAAAGGCUCCUUCAAAAGGCUGGCGAGGGGCCGGGCGCGGUGGCUCACACCUGUCAUCCCAGCAGUUUCGGAGGCCGAGGUGAUUGGAACUGAUUUGACAUAACCAUCGCAUGCAUGGAGAAGCUGAGAACAGUAAUCUGCAGAAGCAAAAUAAUGAAACAGCUGGACAAAGACGCACAGAGGUGAGAGAGACAAAGAGAACAGCCUCUGGUUUCUGCUGAGCUUCCACUUCCUGGUUUUGUCCCCUCCCCCCGUUCACCUUUACCUUUGAGAUACCGCCAUAAUCUUAUAAUAAAUGUUCAUUUUUUCCUUAAGCGACUAGCCUUCUGAAACUUGGAAUUGAAAAGACUAUGGCUAUAGCCCUAGGAUCUAACAGAUGAAAAAUGUAUUAUGUCACCAGUAAAGUAGGUGGUAAAAGAAACAUUUGUUUGAAUGCAGUAAAUUAGAAAGAGGUGGGAUGCAUUGCCCAAGGCCACCAGUACUAAGAGCAGCAAUACACAAAUAGCCCAUAAAAAAGAAAUGUUUCUAUAAAAAGCAGAGCCAAGAACUCCAAAAAACUCAUCAGUCUGGGGCCAUUUAGUUUAGAGACCUCAAUAUGCCUUAGGGUGUCAUUUGGUUACAGUUAUGUAAGACUGACAUUUGUCACAAUGGCCUUGAGCUGCAAAAGGCCAGUCAGAAGAGACAGUGUCAUUUGUUCAGGAGAAUCUAUAAUGAAAAAAUGUUUAAAUUAAAUGUUUAGGCAUUUAAAGAUGUAAGACUUGCUUAUCUGGCACAUAGACAUUGUGAAAUACGUCAUUGUAUAACAGAAUGACAGAUACGUGUGGCACACAGUAUAAUUAUAUAUACUUCCAGAAACAGAACGUCUAAAUAAAGAACAAGUUGAUAGCA